ensembl:lncRNA
AUCGGACACAGACAGUAGUAAUGAAUCGGACAGACAGUAGUAAUGAAUCGGACAGAACAUAGUAGUGAAUCGGACAGACGGUAGUAAUGAAUCGGACCGACAGUGUGGUAAUGAAUCGGACAGACGGUAGUAGUGAAUCGGACAGACGGUAGUAGUGAAUCGGACAGACGGUAGUAAUGAAUCGGACACAGACAGUAGUAAUGAAUCGGACAGACAGUAGUGAUGAAUCGGACAGACAGUAGUGAUGAAUCGGACAGACAGUAGUGAUGAAUCGGACACAGACAGUAGUGAUGAAUCGGACACAGACAGUAGUGAUGAAUCAGACACAGACAGUAGUGAUGAAUCGGACAGACAGUAUAGUAAUGAAUCGGACACAGACAGUAGUAAUGAAUCGGACACAGACAGUAGUGAUGAAUCAGACACAGACAGUAGUGAUGAAUCGGACAGACAGUAGUAAUGAAUCGGACACAGACAGUAGUAAUGAAUCAGACAGACGAGUCGCGAGGACACAAACAUUAUUAAGAUUUAGAACUUCGACACUACACAGUGUUAUUGUAUACUAAGUCUAUAAAACGGGUCAAUUAAAAGUUUAGAAUGUAAAAGUUAGGCAUGAGUAAGUAAGUUUACUGGGAUUUAACCUUAACAUUUGAAUAAGUCACGUUUUUAAAAACAUAUUGCAGAAUAAUAACUAGCUAAUACCUGCUAAGCUAACAUGUAAACAACUCGGUUCAUCCUACCUCGGUUCCGACAGGCUCCGCCUCCUAAGAGAUGAUUAGCCAAUAGGAUCGCGUCUGCUUUAAC